rnacentral:rRNA from 1 species
AUGGAUUCUCUCUUGCAUUGGGAUUUUCCACCAGGCCUUACAUUGGCCGAUCAGGUGAGAAGAAGGUUUGGAUCCACUGUUCACUUCUCUCCAUCCAGAGACACCAAGAAAUUCUUUUUGGUUGUUUCGUUCUCCUCAGCUUCCUUCCCUCUCUCGGAAUCAGUGGGUAUUGCGUUGCAAUGUUGCAUUGGA